AGCGAACAAGUACCGCGAGGGAAAGAUGAAAAGAACUUUGAAAAAAGAGUCAAAGAGUGCUUGAAAUUGUCGGGAGGGAAGCGGAUGGGGGUCGGCGAUGCGUCCCGGUCGGAUGUGGAACGGCGACGAGCCGGUCCGCCGAUCGACUCGGGGCGUGGACCAGCACGAAUUGAGGCGGCGGCCAAAGCCCGGGCAGUCGAUAUGCCCGUGGAAUGCCGUCGCCCCGAUUGUGGCGGACAGCGCGCGCCCUCGGCGUGCCUCGGCAUCUGCGCGCUCCCGGUGCUGGCCUGCGGGCUCCCCAUUCGACCCGUCUUGGAACACGGACCAAGGAGUCUAACAUCUAUGCGAGUGUUCGGGUGUCAAACCCCUACGCGUAAUGAAAGUGAACGCAGGUGAGAGCUUCGGCGCAUCAUCGACCGAUCCUGAUGUUCUCGGAUGGAUUUGAGUAAGAGCAUAGCUGUUGGGACCCGAAAGAUGGUGAACUAUGCCUGAAUAGGGUGAAGUCAGAGGAAACUCUGAUGGAAGCUUGUAGCGGUUCUGACGUGCAAAUCGAUCGUCGAAUCUGGGCAUGGGGGCGAAAGACUAAUCGAGCCAUCUGGUAGCUGGUUCCUGCCGAAGUUUCCCUCAGGAUAGCAGUAACGUUUUCAGUUUUAUGAGGUAAAGCGAAUGAUUAGGGACUCGGGGGCGCUUUUUAGCCUUCAUCCAUUCUCAAACUUUAAAUAUGUAAGAAGUCCUUGUUACUUAAUUGAACGUGGACAUGCGAAUGAGAGUUUCUAGUGGGCCAUUUUUGGUAAGC
rnacentral:rRNA from 1 species